rnacentral:rRNA from 1 species
CAACCAGGGGGGAUUGCCUCAGUAACGGCGAGUGAAGCGGCAACAGCUCAAAUUUGAAAUCUGGCGCCUCCGGGCGUCCGAGUUGUAAUUUGCAGAGGAUGCUUCGGGAUCGGCGCUGCCCCAGGUUCUUUGGAACAGGACGCCACAGAGGGUGAGAGCCCCGUCUCUGGGCGGCAGCCGAAACCGUGUGAAGCGCCUUCGACGAGUCGAGUUGUUUGGGAAUGCAGCUCAAAACGGGAGGUAAAUUUCUUCCAAGGCUAAAUACAGGCCGGAGACCGAUAGCGCACAAGUAGAGUGAUCGAAAGAUGAAAAGUACUUUGGAAAGAGAGUCAAACAGCGCGUGAAAUUGUUGAAAGGGAAGCGCUUGCAGUCAGACUUGGCCGCCCGGUUCGGCGGGGCCUCGCGCCCCGUCUCCGCCGUGGCGGUCAGGCCAGCAUUGGUUCGGGCGACCGGAGAAAGGCUGCGGGAAUGUGGCUCCUCUCGGGGAGUGUUAUAGCCCGCGGCAGAAUACGGCCAGCCCGGACCAAGGAACGCGCUUCGGCUCGGAUGCUGGCGUAAUGGCUGCAAGCGGCCCGUCUUGAAACACGGACCAAGGAGUCUAACAUCUGUGCGAGUGUUUGGGUGUCAAGCCCUUGCGCGCAAUGAAAGUGAACGGAGGUGGGAGCCCUCGGGCGCACCAUCGACCGAUCCUGAUGUCUUCGGAAGGAUUUGAGUAAGAGCACAGCUGUUGGGACCCGAAAGAUGGUGAACUAUGCCUAAGCAGGGUGAAGCCAGAGGAAACUCUGGUGGAGGCUCGCAGCGGUUCUGACGUGCAAAAUCGAUCGUCAAAUUUGGGUAUAGGGGCGAAAGACUAAUCGAACCAUCUAGUAGCUGGUUCCUGCCGAAGUUUCCCUCAGGAUAGCAGCAACGGGACGCAGUUUUAUGAGGUAAAGCGAAUGAUUAGAGGCUGGGGGUUGAAACCACCUUCACCUAUUCUCAAACUUUAAAUAUGUAAGAAGUCCUUGUUUACUCCUUGAACGUGGACAUUCGAAUGCACCGUUGCUAGUGGGCCAUUUUUGGUAGCAGAACUGGCGAUGCGGAUGAACCGAACGCGAUGUUAAGUGUGCCGGAAUGCACGCUCUUCAGACACCCACCAAAAUGGUGUAA